CUCGUACCCUCUCUUCUCCUCUCUCUCUCUCCAACCUUUCUGCAAAAACCUUAUCUGCAACCAAACCAAACCAAACCCAACAAUGUCUUCCUCUGCCUCUUCUCUCCACUUUCUCUCUCUAUCUCCUCACUCUCUCUCUCUCUCCAACUCCAAACCCACCGCCCCCUCUUCUCUCUCUCUCUCCUCUCCCCUCAAAACCCCAAUCAAAUCAUCCACCUCCAUCUUCUCUGCCAGGCCCUUCGAUUUCUCGCCCUCUCGGUUUGUCGUUCGAAACGUCGCGGUUUCGUCCGAGUUCGAGCAGGAAGAGGAGGUCUUGAGCGAUGCAGAGGAACCCAGUUUCUCUCCUGACCUCAAGGUCUUCGUUGGGAACUUGCCUUUCAACGUCGACAGCGCAACUCUCGCUGAGUUGUUCGAGCGAGCUGGGAAUGUCGAGAUGGUUGAGGUUAUAUAUGACAAGAUAACUGGAAGGAGCCGAGGGUUCGGUUUUGUGACAAUGUCUUCGGCUGAGGGGGUUGAGGCAGCAGUUCAGCAAUUUAAUGGCUAUGAACUGGAAGGCAGGGCAUUGAGGGUGAAUUCUGGUCCUCCUCCUCCGAAAGGAGAUUCUCCUUUCAGAGAGCCCAGGGCUGGUGGGGCAAGUUUUGAUAACACCAAUAGGGUUUAUGUGGGCAAUCUUGCAUGGGGUGUUGAUGAGUCAGCACUUGCAACCUUGUUUAGUGAGCAAGGAAAGGUUAUAGAAGCUAAGGUUGUUUAUGACAGAGAUAGCGGCAGAUCAAGGGGUUUUGGGUUUGUAACCUACAGUUCUGCAGAUGAGGUCAACAAUGCAAUUGAAUCAUUGGAUGGUGUUGACCUAGAUGGCAGGCCAAUCCGAGUAAGCAUUGCUGAAGGCAGGCCAAGGCGUCAAUUUUGAUCAUUGAAUCUUUUGAGCUUUUUUCAACUAAGAACACACCUUGGGGAAAACAAAAGCCGGCAGAAAACAAGCUUAUUGGGGUGAAAAAUAUUUCCACUUUUGAAAGGUUUCUCGGGAGGGCGAUGCAGCUGCAGUCUUUUGUUGUUUCACUAAAUUUUGAAGAAUAUACUCCUUUCGACUAAGUAACUUUGUAUUUGAUCUCUGCAUCCUGACAAACGGGGCCUCAUAACUGUGUUGAAUCUUUCAGUGCAUAUUUUCUGAAAUGCUAUGCUUUGGACAAGAUAUUGAUUGUAAUUCUUCUCUUAUAGCUUUUGAUGGAAUAGGUACAUACAUGAAUUGUUGUUUUUGUUA